rnacentral:rRNA from 1 species
GACGAACGCUGGCGGCGUGCCUAAUACAUGCAAGUAGAACGCUGAAGGAGGAGCUUGCUUCUCCGGAUGAGUUGCGAACGGGUGAGUAACGCGUAGGUAACCUGCCUGGUAGCGGGGGAUAACUAUUGGAAACGAUAGCUAAUACCGCAUAACAGUAGAUAUUGCAUGAUAUCUGCUUGAAAGGUGCAAUUGCAUCACUACCAGAUGGACCUGCGUUGUAUUAGCUAGUUGGUGAGGUAACGGCUCACCAAGGCGACGAUACAUAGCCGACCUGAGAGGGUGAUCGGCCACACUGGGACUGAGACACGGCCCAGACUCCUACGGGAGGCAGCAGUAGGGAAUCUUCGGCAAUGGACGGAAGUCUGACCGAGCAACGCCGCGUGAGUGAAGAAGGUUUUCGGAUCGUAAAGCUCUGUUGUAAGAGAAGAACGAGUGUGAGAGUGGAAAGUUCACACUGUGACGGUAUCUUACCAGAAAGGGACGGCUAACUACGUGCCAGCAGCCGCGGUAAUACGUAGGUCCCGAGCGUUGUCCGGAUUUAUUGGGCGUAAAGCGAGCGCAGGCGGUUAGAUAAGUCUAAAGUUAAAGGCUGUGGCUUAACCAUAGUACGCUUUGGAAACUGUUUAACUUGAGUGCAAGAGGGGAGAGUGGAAUUCCAUGUGUAGCGGUGAAAUGCGUAGAUAUAUGGAGGAACACCGGUGGCGAAAGCGGCUCUCUGGCUUGUAACUGACGCUGAGGCUCGAAAGCGUGGGGAGCAAACAGG